CCCUAGCCCAGAUAGCAGUGAAAAUCCUUGUUUGUGAAAAAUCUAUUUUUUCUUACUAGUGCAGAGCGACCAACGGAAGCUCCUACAAUAGCUUACAAAAAAUGAUUUUUGCAAACAAGAUUGAAACGAAUAGCUGGAUUAGCU
rnacentral:sRNA from 1 species